AGCCCCCACAGGUCCAAUGAGGGUGCAGAGGGGGGAAAAAUCAGCCCUGAAAAUAAGAAGCACCAUUGGGACCAUGUCUUGGAGGACUUUAUUUGGCAAAGUGGGAAGGGACAAGAUAAGGGACCAGGUACAGCACCCCAUGCCAUCAGGGAACGCCACGCCCUCGAGAGUGGCCGGCAGUGGAGCACGGGGCAGAGACUAGGACCUGAGACUGUCAGAUAAAGCAACAUCCUCCAGUCCCUCACCUGACACUGACUUAGAUGGAGCCACAUGCAAUAACUACGCUGUCGCCUUGCCAUGCCUCCUCCAUAAAAGCUGGGGAUUAUGGUCUGCGUAGGGGCAGAGAAUAGGGCCAUCUGCGUGCGCCCAGGAUGGCCAUCGCAUCCACCCAUCCGAUACAUCUUGUCAGUAAGUCACCCUGAAUAAAACUGAGUAAAUGGUA